UACCAAAAUCCUAAAAUAAAGAGUAGAGUUUUGGCAGAGUUAAAACAAACAAACAAACUCGCCAAGUUUCUCCUAAAUUAAAUUACUUAUUCCCGACAAAGGGGGAACUCUGCUUUCACCGUGUGUUUGUUUUCCAGGAGUAAACUGCAGAGGAACCAACUUCAGGGAGGCUUUGCUCCUGCCCCUUGGCUAUUUCUAGCAUCUGUAAUCUUGACCAUUUCACCUAAGUCCACCAAGGGAACUCAGCUUUCACCACGACUAUGACUUCAGACGGGUCUAGGUGUUUUCCAGUGGGGUCAAGAGAUGUUGACUUGUUUUAAAAGUUCCAGCCUGCUGAAUCUCUCAGUAUUUGCAUGCAGAAAGAUGUAUUAGAGUGACUAGAGAUGUUUGAAAGACAGGCGAAGACCAACAUUAGCCAUCGUCACACGGACCACGAUGGACCAGGUGGCUGAUCUUUCUAAACCACAGUGAAAAAUCUGCCUAUGAUGCAGGAGGACCUGAGUUCAAUCCCUGGGUCGGAAAGAGCCCCUGGAGAAGAGAAUGGCAACUCAAUUGCCUGGGAAAUCCAACAGACAGAGAAGCCCGGCAGGCUACAGUCCAUUUGGUCGCAAAGAGUUGGACACAACUAAGCGAUCUUCACUUUCACUUUUCAUGCAUAAUACAGAGUACAGUAUCUUCAUUUUCACAGAGAGAAUUCUCUGAAGAUCAACUUCUCUAUUGCCACUGGUUUGCGCCUGCUUCGGGCCAGCACCUGCUCUCAUCAGAGCUCUGCAAGAGCCUUCUACUCACCUACCAGCCUCUCCUUCCCAACACGAUCUUCAGUGAGGUCUCUCUGCAGUGUCAGAAUCAAUCAGUCGACUUAACAAAAAUCACUCCAUUGCCCUCAAACAAGAAGCCCAGAGUCCUCAGUCUAGCUUUCCACCUGCUAACAAACCCAGUGAUUUCCCAGUGAUUUCCUCUUGGUCUUGACUUUAGUAUCACUUCUUCCCAGGGCUUCCCUGGUGGCUCAGACGGUAAAGAAUCCGCCUGCAUCGGGAGAUCUGGGUUCGUUCCCUGGGUUGGGAAGAUCCCCUGGAGGAGGGCAUGGCAACCCACUCCAGUAUUCUUGCCUGGAGAAUCCCCAUGGACAGAGGAGCCUGCUGGGCAACAGUCCAAAGGGUCGCAAAGAGUCAGACACGACUGAAGCGACUUAGCAUGGUCCCCAGUUAGGCUUCUCUGACCCCUCAAGUCUGGGGUUUCUAAGCACCCAAUGUUUCUUUCAACUGCCGCAUGUAUCAUCAUCUGCUACACUCAACUGUUCUCAUGUCCUUGAGCUGAAGUCUGGUGAGAAAAGGAAUCGUUUCUGGAAGGUCAUGCCUCUCCUUCCACUGUCUCACCUGGUGCCUAGCAAAGGACAAGUUCUUAACUAUUGACUAAUUUAACAAACGAAUAAAUGAAUUUCCUUUUGUCAGGCUUUCUGUAAGGUCAACAUUCUAAAUAAAAUGAAAGAAAAAACCCUGUACCUACCCAGCACAACAGACACUCCACGCCAGAUAAAUGCCGCGUGAUGGCAGACCACAGGGUAGGGCCACGGCUCCUAACAAAGAACGCCUGCCACGAAUUCACGUGCAUUGGCUUUUCCAGCGGUGACAGUCCAAUGCAAAGGUAAGAUACCAUUUUAAUGUGUGUCCUACAGUAUUCCCAAAUGUGAAGCAUAUAUAAGAAAUGAAAAUAACCUCUCUUAAUUACCCAAAUCUCAGAGUAUCCCCUUCUUCUGUCACACGAUCAUGGACCAUAAAGAAAAACCUACCUGUAAGAAUAAGGAGUAUCUUCAACAUGUAUGGAAAGAAUAUGUUCUGCUAACACAGGGAUUCAGUUUUAAAAUGCACUAAAAUUUAAUGACCAUGAAUAUAUUCCAGCCUCAUAAUUUAAUCAGAAGGCCAAUAUCAAAAGUCAAUCUGGGGAUUUCCCUGGUGGUCCAGCAGUUAAGAGUCCACCUUGCAAUGCGGGGACGCGGGUUUGACCCCUGGUUGGGGAACUAGGAUCCCAACUGCUGAGGAGCUUAUAAGUUUACACGCCACAACGAAAGAUCCUGCUUGCUGCCUGAGACCCGACGCAGUCAUAAACACAUAGUUUUUAAAAAGCCAAUUUGCCUGACCGAAUUUCUGUUCUGAUGAAUUUGUCAAAUGUUAUCUUCUCCAAAUAGAGCUACCCUAAGAAAGUAAAUGUAUUCCAAUAAAGUCUCCUCCCACUGACCAGUUAGGAGAGAGACUAAGUACAGAAAGCAGAGAGAAAAUAUCCUCAUUGGCACUGCUGCCCAGCUGCCCAGAGGCCCACUCUGAUCUUUGGUCAUGUGGGUCACUUCGUGUUGAAGAUCUGGUGCAUUUUAUACAUCAAGUGCCACAGUCUGGUUCUUAAGACCCACUCCGCUUUCGUGGUCAAUUACAAGCGAGCGCUACCAUCAAAGCAUGCCCAGGAACUUGGCCAACUCACCCACCCCGAGUGAAGGUCUGAGAAUGAGCCCAAGGACAAGUGCCACCUGGGGACACUGUUCUCUGUGAUAACAAGCCAUGUGAGAUGAAGGGCAAAAUGAAGCCUCAGUAAGCAGCCCAGGAGGUUUCCUGGUCCAGUGGGUAUCAUCCUCCUCUGAUAUUACCACCACUGGCACGCUCAGCAGUGCAUGCGUGUGUGCAUGCUAAGCUGCUUCAGUAGUGCCUCUUUCCAGCCCGAUGGACUGUAGCCCUCCAGGCUCCUCUGCCCAUGGGAUUCUCAAGAACACUGGAGUGGGUUGCCAUGCCCUCCUCCAAGGGAUCUUCCCAACCCAAGGAUUGAACCUGAAUCAAUCCCACAGUUUAUUGUCUGUAAGCAUCUUCUGGGUGCAAGCAGUGACAAGUUUAAAAAUACAGACUUGUGAAGGGAUUGUCUGUAAUAACCGCCUUAUUCUGUGUAUGCAAAAAUAAAGUUUAUUCUUAAGUUCUGAUGAGAAACCAUCAGUCUCCUGGCAAGUUGGGAGUCUACACUCAACCCGAGGCUGUGAACACAUUUCCUGGAGCGGCUUCUCAGAGGGCAGUGUCCCGCCAGUUUGGGAAUAAUGCCGAGUCUGUCUGUUUUUCUAAUCUGGCCAGUGACCCAAGGACAGUCCAGGCAACAGUUUAGUGGACGUUUGCAGAAAAGCUCAAAUGGUAACAGCUGGGAAAGGCUGUGGGAAAAGUUGCUAACUUCCUUCAAGAAGAGAAUCUAGAACACAAGUAAGAGCUGGGAAGUAGUGAGAGAACGCUGAGUUUAGGAAGUAUUAAUAUACUGUACUGAGACAAGAGGUUUGUAAGACACAGCCACUUAAAGACAAAGGAGGGACCAUAUUCUCGUCUCUUCACCACUGCUUAGACUCUGGUCAGAGAAAAACAGACUCUUACACUGCUGGACGAUGAACACCCUCAUUCCAUAGUGACAACAAAUGCCUCCUACAAGCCAGGAAACAGGCUAGUGCAAAUUUAAAAUAAAUACACAUUUAAGCCCUACCCCAUUAUUAGCCCUGCUGAACAGUUCAAGGACGCGAGGUCACACAGCCACUAAGUGUGCUUACCAUAAAGCAUUCGUUAAAAUACCUGAAGUGUUCCACACACUUCAGGCUUUAAAAACCACUGGGUAGGUUUUAAUUCUGAUACUUUCAACAGGGAAGACCAUGACCAAAGGUGAAUCAUGCAGAGUAUGUAAGAGAUCUGGAGUGAAGAUUUGUGUGUGUGGCAAAAACCAAGAACCAUCCAGUUACCCUGAGGCUUAGAGGCAUAGCAUGCAAGAGAGAAGUUCUAUAAACCUUCUGUUUAACAGCCAGAAUUUUUAUAUCAGCCAAAAAAAGUAUGUUUCCAGAGCAGAAUAAUUAAAAAAAAAAAGAUCGGGAAAUUAAUUCAAUUGUACGUGAGGAGGGACUUGAGAGAAAUACUGCCAUUAAGAGUGGAUAAGCCCUCCACUUAUAGCCUGUGCUCACUUAGGGAAGUAGUCAAGGCCAGUUCAUCAUUCAAAGCCACAUGAAAUGUACAUUAGAAAUCAGAAUGAGUGGCCUCCACUUUGAUGAAAGGGUUGAACUCUCUCGCUCCAAGCUCUAUGCAUGACAGCCACCGGCCAUGGAGCUCGGUCCCCCUCGGAGAGGGACGGCCACGAGCCACGGAGCUCAGACCCACUUGGGGAGCGAUGGCCACUGG